UCUUAUUUCGAGUGGCUGAGGGACUGGCCCUUGGACGCCCGGCAACCGACUCCUAAUUUUUUUAGUGAAAUAUAGGAAAACGGUGCCAAUUCCAGCGGAUAGAACAUCCGGAAAAUGAGG
rnacentral:ncRNA from 1 species